UACGUAGGGGGCAAGCGUUGUCCGGAUUUAUUGGGCGUAAAGAGCGUGUAGGCGGCGCGGAUAGUCGGCGGUGAAAGCCCGGAGCUCAACUCCGGGUCGGCCGUCGAUACUUCCGGGCUUGAGCACUGUAGAGGCAGGAUGGAAUUCCGGGUGUAGCGGUGGAAUGCGUAGAGAUCCGGAAGAACACCGGUGGCGAAGGCGGUCUGCUGGGCGAGUUGCUGA
rnacentral:rRNA from 1 species